GGGGCUGUUCAGGUUUCGACAGAAAUGGAUGGUCGGCAAAGCGCGAGCCGAGGAGGCGUCUGGCCUCGUCAAAAGGCGCAAAAAAAUAACCGCUAACGUUGUAAAAGUAGAUUUUACUCCUCAAGCAUUAGCCGCUUAAUUUAUUAAACGGCGACCACGGAAAAACCGCCGGAGUUUUUCCUUCGGUUUAUUUUACCGGUUGCGUCUGCGGAAUGUUUUGGAUCCGCUGACAAAGAAAAGUUCUGAAACUUAAGCUCUGGUUCGCCGGUCUGCGGACAGGCUAGGGCUGAAAAUCAAACGCAGACUACGCUCGUAGUGGUUUGCCUUCAAGCAUUUUUGGACACGGGUUCGAUUCCCGUCAGCUCCACUU
rnacentral:tmRNA from 1 species